rnacentral:rRNA from 1 species
AGAUUGAACGCUGGCGGCAUGCCUUACACAUGCAAGUCGAACGGCAGCACGGGAGCAAUCCUGGUGGCGAGUGGCGAACGGGUGAGUAAUAUAUCGGAACGUGCCCAGUCGUGGGGGAUAACGCAGUGAAAGCUGUGCUAAUACCGCAUACGAUCUAUGGAUGAAAGCGGGGGACUCGCAAGAGCCUCGCGCGAUUGGAGCGGCCGAUAUCAGAUUAGCUAGUUGGUGGGGUAAAAGCCCACAAGGCGACGAUCUGUAGCUGGUCUGAGAGGACGACCAGCCACACUGGAACUGAGACACGGUCCAGACUCCUACGGGAGCAGCAGUGGGGAAUAGUUGGACAAU